GACGAACGCUGGCGGCGUGCUUAACACAUGCAAGUCGAACGGAAAGACCCUGCUUUUGUGGGGUGCUCGAGCGGCGAACGGGUGAGUAACACGUGAGUAACCUGCCCUUGACUUUGGGAUAACUUCAGGAAACUGGGGCUAAUACCGGAUAGGAGCUCCUGCUGCAUGGUGGGGGUUGGAAAGUUUCGGCGGUUGGGGAUGGACUCGCGGCGUAUCAGCUUGUUGGUGGGGUAGUGGCUUACCAAGGCUUGGACGGGUAGCCGGCCUGAGAGGGUGACCGGCCACACUGGGACGGAGAUACGGCACAGACUCCUACGGGAGGCAGCAGUGGGGAAUAGUGCACAAUGGGCGGAAGCCUGAUGCAGCAACGCCGCGUGCGGGAUGACGGCCUUCGGGUUGGAAACCGCUUUCGCCUGUGACGAAGCGUGAGUGACGGUAAUGGGUAAAGAAGCACCGGCUAACUACGUG
rnacentral:rRNA from 1 species